rnacentral:rRNA from 1 species
AUUGAACGCUGGCGGCAUGCCCUACACAUGCAAGUCGAACGGUAACAGGUCUUCGGAUGCUGACGAGUGGCGAACGGGUGAGUAAUACAUCGGAACGUGCCCGAUCGUGGGGGAUAACGGAGCGAAAGCUUUGCUAAUACCGCAUACGAUCUACGGAUGAAAGCAGGGGACCGCAAGGCCUUGCGCGGACGGAGCGGCCGAUGGCAGAUUAGGUAGUUGGUGGGAUAAAAGCUUACCAAGCCGACGAUCUGUAGCUGGUCUGAGAGGACGACCAGCCACACUGGGACUGAGACACGGCCCAGACUCCUACGGGAGGCAGCAGUGGGGAAUUUUGGACAAUGGGCGAAAGCCUGAUCCAGCCAUGCCGCGUGCAGGAUGAAGGCCUUCGGGUUGUAAACUGCUUUUGUACGGAACGAAAAGACUCUUUCUAAUAAAGAGGGUCCAUGACGGUACCGUAAGAAUAAGCACCGGCUAACUACGUG